CAGCACCUCAAGUGGUCAGGAUGAUUAUUGGGCCUAACGCAUCCGUAGCCGGCGCUGUAAGUUUUCGGUUAAAUCUGUACGCUCAACGUACAGGCUGCCGGGAAUACUGCAGCGCUAGGGAGUGGGAGAGGUAGACGGUACUCGGUAGGAAGGGGUAAAAUCCUUUGAUCUAUUGAUGACCACCUGUGGCGAAGGCGGUCUACCAGAACACGUCCGACGGUGAGGGAUGAAAGCUGGGGGAGCGAACCGGAUUAGAUACCCGAGUAGUCC
rnacentral:rRNA from 1 species